rfam:Poecilia formosa, whole genome shotgun sequence.
GUUCCUGUAGUGUAGUGGUUAUCAUGUUUGCUUUACACGCAAAAGGUCUCUGGUUCAAAACCAGACCGAAAACA